UUCCUCAGUUCUAGGUCC
rnacentral:sRNA from 1 species